rfam:Triticum urartu cultivar G1812 contig821128, whole genome shotgun sequence.
CACCCUCUCCCUCCGUUCCGAAUUACUUGUCGCAGGUAUGGAUGUAUCUAGAUGUAUUUUAGUUCUAGAUACAUCCAUUUCUUCGAUGAGUAAUUUGGAACGAAGGGAGUUGUUG